rnacentral:lncRNA from 1 species
AAAAAGUAGACACCUGCACAGGUGUAGGAUGACUGAGCAGCAGCAGAAGCAGGAAAAGUCAGCGUCCCCAGAUCAGCUGAUACGGGGUUCAGCUUCUACAUAGGGGUGAGGUGCCAGGACGGUGACGGGGGUCCUGUGGCUCUGCUGCUCUGGGGAACACCCCUAGGAUUUGGAGCAUCUGCUAUGGUUGCUGCACUUCACUCGUCCGUGGGAAAGGGACCGGAAGGUGUGGGACUUCACGUGACCCAACGUGGGAAACCACCAAGGGAAUUUGGGAUGGGUGGCACAUGUUUUUUUUUUUAUUUUACCCAAUAUUUGAAGGUGGGUUGUACAAAGAAGUAUUAGACUUAUUUCAGCCUAUGGAGGACACAGGACAAGGAUUGACCAGAAUCUCCACUUCUGAGCUGCGGAUGCACAAGACAAAAGGAAGUGAACCCAUGACUGGCCUCAGAUGCAGAUGCCUAACAACAAACAGCCCCAUCACCCCCGGUUGAGGAGAGGAGGGGGCUGUGGCUGCAGACAGACCUCAUAUGUCUCUAAUCUGCCACCUAUGGCCUGUGUGACCCU